GGACGAACGCUGGCGGCGUGCCUAACACAUGCAAGUCGACGAAGCUCCGGAACGGAGUCUUCGGAUGAAGCGAAGGAAGACUUAGUGGCGGACGGGUGAGUAACGCGUGAGCAACCUGCCUUUCAGAGGGGGAUAACAGUUGGAAACGACUGCUAAUACCGCAUAAUAUAUUGUUGUCGCAUGGCAAUGAUAUCAAAGCUGAGGCGCUGGAAGAUGGGCUCGCGUCCGAUUAGAUAGUUGGUGGGGUAACGGCCUACCAAGUCGACGAUCGGUAGCCGGGACUGAGAGGUUGAACGGCCACAUUGGGACUGAGACACGGCCCAGACUCCUACGGGAGGCAGCAGUGGGGGAUAUUGCACAAUGGGCGAAAGCCUGAUGCAGCAACGCCGCGUGAGGGAAGACGGUUUUCGGAUUGUAAACCUCUGUCUUUGGUGAAGAAGGAAGUGACGGUAACCAAGGAGGAAGCCACGGCUAACUACGUGCCAGCAGCUGC
rnacentral:rRNA from 1 species